UCCCUGCUAGCUCAACUGGCAAAGAAUCUGCCUGUAAUGUAGGAGACCUGGGUGCGAUUCCUGGGUUGGGAA
rnacentral:tRNA from 1 species